UGCGAUGAGUCGAGAAGAGUCAGACAACAUUUUGUUGUUUCGCUGCGGCGACUAGUGAUUAUUUUCAUUAAGGCAGAGUACAGAUGUUACCGGAUUGUAACGUACUUGCUUGAUGUAGAUGUGAACUGC
rfam:Lactobacillus salivarius TCC118, complete genome.